rnacentral:misc_RNA from 1 species
UUACAGUUUAUGCAAUUUCUACAAAACAGAUUUUCAAUGCUCUCCCAUUUUUUUGCUACCGAUGCUUGGACGACGAGAUAUUUCAUGGGU